GACGAACGCUGGCGGCAUGCCUAAUACAUGCAAGUCGAGCGAACGGAUGAAGUGCUUGCACUUCUGACGUUAGCGGCGAACGGGUGAGUAACACGUAAGGAAUCUACCUAUAAGCGGGGGAUAACAUCCGGAAACGGGUGCUAAUACCGCAUAAUAUCUUCUUCCGCAUGGAAGAAGAUUGAAAGACGGCUCUGCUGUCACUUAUAGAUGACCUUGCGGUGCAUUAGUUAGUUGGUGGGGUAACGGCCUACCAAGACGAUGAUGCAUAGCCGACCUGAGAGGGUGAUCGGCCACAUUGGGACUGAGACACGGCCCAAACUCCUACGGGAGGCAGCAGUAGGGAAUCUUCCGCAAUGGGCGAAAGCCUGACGGAGCAAUGCCGCGUGAGUGAAGAAGGCCUUCGGGUCGUAAAACUCUGUUAUAAGAGAAGAACAAAUUGUAGAGUAACUGCUACAGUCUUGACGGUAUCUUAUCAGAAAGCCACGGCUAACUACGUGCCAGCCGCCGCCGUAA
rnacentral:rRNA from 1 species